UGGGACAACCCGGGGAAACCUGGGCUAAUACCGCAUGAGGCAGCGGUCCCGCAUGGGGCCGCUGUGAAAAGGAGGCCUCUGCUUGCAAGCCUCUGCCUCCGGAUGGGCUCGCGGCCUAUCAGCUUGUUGGUGAGGUAACGGCUCACCAAGGCUAGGACGGGUAGCUGGCGUGAGAGCGCGACCGGCCACACCGCCACUGAGACACGGGCCGGACUCCUACGGGAGGCAGCAGUGGGGAAUCUUGCGCAAUGGACGAAAGUCUGACGCAGCGACGCCGCGUGCGUGAGGAAGCCCUUCGGGGUGUAAACCGCUGUCAGGGGGGAAGAAAGUAUUGAGGUCGAACAGGCCUCGAUAUUGACGGUACCCCCAGAGGAAGCUCCGGCUAACUCCGUGCCAGCAGCCGCGGUAAUACGGAGGGAGCGAGCGUUGUCCGGAAUCACUGGGCGUAAAGGGCGCGCAGGCGGCCGAGGAAGUCCUCUGUGAAAUUCUGGGGCGCAACUCCAGAGGGUCAGGGGAAACUCCUCGGCUCGAGACAGGUAGAGGCGAGUGGAAUUCCCGGUGUAGCGGUGGAAUGCGUAGAGAUCGGGAAGAACACCGGUGGCGAAGGCGGCUCGCUGGGCCUGUUCUGACGCUCAGGCGCGAAAGCGUGGGGAGCAAACAGGAUUAGAUACCCGGGUAGUCCACGCCGUAAACGAUGGGCACUAGGUGCCGGGAGGCGUGAUACCUCUCGGUGCCGAAGCUAACGCGUUAAGUGCCCCGCCUGGGGAGUACGGCCGCAAGGCUGAAACUCAAAGGAAUUGACGGGGG
rnacentral:rRNA from 1 species